AACCCUAAGGCGCAAUGAAAGUGAAGGUCAGCCACCACACUGACCGAGGCAGGAUACGUCCGAGUGAGCGAAGCUCUUCUUCCUUUCGCGGGUUCGUCCCGCGGGGGAGCUCGGCGUCGCACUGCCGGCCCAUCUCAGCCGCAUCCCGUCGGCGAGGUGGAGCCAGAGCGCACACGUUGGGACCCCAAAGAUGGUGAACUAUGCUCGGGCAGGACGAAGCCACAGGAAACUCUGGUGGAGGUCCGUAGCAAUUCUGACGUGCAAAUCGAUCGUCGGACCCGAUUAUAGGGGCGAAAGACUAAUCGAACCGUCU
rnacentral:rRNA from 1 species